UAAGCAUAUCAAUAAGCGGAGGAAAAGAAACCAACUGGGAUUACCUUAGUAACGGCGAGUGAAGCGGUAAAAGCUCAAAUUUGAAAUCUGGUACUUUCAGUGCCCGAGUUGUAAUUUGUAGAAUUUGUCUUUGAUUAGGUCCUUGUCUAUGUUCCUUGGAACAGGACGUCAUAGAGGGUGAGAAUCCCGUUUGGCGAGGAUACCUUUUCUCUGUAAGACUUUUUCGAAGAGUCGAGUUGUUUGGGAAUGCAGCUCAAAGUGGGUGGUAAAUUCCAUCUAAAGCUAAAUAUUGGCGAGAGACCGAUAGCGAACAAGUACAGUGAUGGAAAGAUGAAAAGAACUUUGAAAAGAGAGUGAAAAAGUACGUGAAAUUGUUGAAAGGGAAGGGCAUUUGAUCAGACAUGGUGUUUUUUGCAUGCACUCGCCUCUCGUGGGCUUGGGCCUCUCAAAAAUUUCACUGGGCCAACAUCAAUUCUGGCAGCAGGAUAAAUCAUUAAGAAUGUAGCUACUUCGGUAGUGUUAUAGCUUUUUGGAAUACUGUUAGCCGGGAUUGAGGACUGCGCUUCGGCAAGGAUGUUGGCAUAAUGGUUAAAUGCCGCCC
rnacentral:rRNA from 1 species